GCACAGUGAUGAUUAAACCUGAAAAUAGCUGGAAUUACCGGCAGACUGUAGGUGGUGAGAAGGGUUUGUCUGAGUGCAUUGCAAGUCAUUGACAUUUAGCGGUCUUUAUUUUGGACACUUAUUUCCGACUUUUUUUUCUUUUUCCUUUCCCUAUAGGCUUUCAGUAGCUGUAUAAGAAUAUGGUAAGUUUAUCUCUGUAUUGGAGUUGUUUACACUUUGUAUGUGGUUAUUGUUGAGAAUUCAAAGUUGAUCUCCCUUUAAGGCUAAUGUAGUCAAAGCUGUCUUGAGGGAUUUUUCAGUUACGCUCAUUUUGACCUUAAAUGUAAAUUCCAACAAAUUCUGGCUUUAGUAAAUCACCCUGUUGAAGUGGGUAAUGUUACUCUUCCAGUCUAGCUACUGAAGUUCUAAUCUUCAUCCUCAGUUUACAGAAUAUGCACAGUGAUGAUUUAACCUGAAAAUAGCUGGAAUUACCGGCAGACUGCAGGUGGUGAGAAGGGUUUGUCUGAGUGCUCCGCAAAUCAGUGAUUGCGUCGUUUAUAUUAUAUAUUGAGGCACUUGCAUGUCUAUUAAAAACAUGCAUAUGAUCUGUUUAAUAAGCGGUCUGAAGUGGUAUCCUCUAAUACCAAUAAAUAACAAUAAAACAAAUUGUUAGUGUAGCAAUUCCAAUGAACUCAAAUCUCUAAUAUUAAAGUGCUUAUACUGAAUCUUUUAAUUAAUCUAAAAUUUGUCUUUUAUUCUAGCUUCCUUAAAUAUUGAACAUGCAUUUUACAUCAAGGAGCAAUCUGAUGGAUAAAAGGUGACUUAUUAUAUUUUUUUUUUAUUAUUCAGUUAAUUAUGCAGGCUUACAGCAGUGAUGUUGGUAUUGGAGAGAUGGCUAACGCUGGCACUAUAUUUAUUUAAACAAGAUCUUUCUUUGCAAGCAUAUGUUGGGUGCACUAUAGUCUGCAGUGCAAAGCUUUGGUGUGUGUGUCAGUCCUGAGCCUACCACUCGGUGACACUGUAUGGAGUACAAUCUUCCUGUCUCAUGUUUGUUUGGAAGAAAGCACUAGAAGUGCUUACCAUAUGCAUGCAGUGUCUAUUGGCCAUUGAUUCAUUAAAACUUGCUUUUUAAUGAGAGCACAGGUGCUUUUGUUGACCACUUCCCCUUCUACAGCAAAGCAUCGUGGAAGUUGUAGUUCUGUAUGAGCUUAGGAUCUACCCUUGGCUGUCCCUUUUAAAGGCUGUUUGAUUAUGUACUAUGUUGUAUGGUAUAUUGAGGUCUGUAAAAGUGGCAUUUCACACUUUAUUAUUCUCACUUGGCAUUUAUUUUUCACACAUGCCUUUGUCAAACUUUAGACUACAGUUAAAAUCAUUUCUAACUGUAUUCUGUGUGGAUUGACACUUGUAGUAAGCUUACAUUAAAGCAUCCACUAGAGGGAGACAAAACAUCAGUUUUCCAAUCUGGUUUAAACAAGUGCAGCAUACCAUGAGAUUUUGUGGGUUCAAUUAAUUUUCUCCCACCUCAGUGCUUACAUGUUAAUUUCAUCGUGGUGGCUUAAUCUGCCAAAAACUCCUGCCAUUUUUUUAUUACUGGACUUUAUAAAAUGCCAGUAUAUUCAGCAGCACUGUACAAUUGAGGGAGAAGGUACAACAUGCACAGACAAAUACAAAAGGGCUCUGCCGUUAAGCUGAGAUCUAGCCAUUGAAGCUUAUAGGGUGCUUAGCUAGGUAGCACAUAAACUUGUAAUAUAAAGGAUAUAGUGUGUUUUACUUGUUUGUGACUUGCUUGUAUUUGCAUUUCAAAGACUCUAUCCAGGUUAAGGACUUUCUAUAUUUCUUUGCCCGGGUCAAGUGACAAAACAGCAUUAAACUUUGUGGCCUUCAUUUCCUUGAUGCUACUAGUAUCUCUACCUCAUGCUGUGAUAUUUUACUGGUGUUAAGUUGUAAGCCAUGUUAAACUUAAAAGGACACCGUAAGCACCCAGAGCACUUCAACUCAAU